UUGCUACAUGAAGCAAAGCCCUAGGCAUUCUAAAACCCUAUAUAAGAAUGUCCCAACCUAGCCGUUUUCCCAAUAUUAGUCCAUGAAAGGGAAAAGGAAGGAAAGAAAGAACCUAUCCCUUGAUAUUUCUUUUCUUCUAUUUGUCUAUUGAUUUUUAAAAUAAAAAAAUGUUUCGUCACUAUUGUUUCGUUUAUCGUACUGCAUUGAAAAGGUAAUAAGGUAAAUCCAACAUAUUUUACCUAAAUUUCAGGCUUGCUCUUUGAUGAGAAUAAGCAGAUGGGCAGUCAGAACCUGAUGCUGUGUUGAGUGUCUGCAUAACUUCCUUUAAUGGAAUAUCUCUGAGAGCUAUAGCUAUUCUAUGUAGUUUCUUUUCAGGCUGUCAAUUUCUUAUUUUCAUCUGUGUGUUAUGAUGAAGCUGUGAUAGUCUUUAUUUACUCCCUUCAUCAAUUUGCAGUGAUGACUUGCUAAAUUAUGUCUGGACUUAUGAAAGAUGUUCAUGAUUAAUUAAAUUGCAAAUUCUGAGCA